GACGAACGCUGGCGGCGUGCUUAACACAUGCAAGUCGUACGGUAAGGCCCUUUCGGGGGUACACGAGUGGCGAACGGGUGAGUAACACGUGAGUAACCUGCCCACAACUUUGGGAUAACGCUAGGAAACUGGUGCUAAUACUGGAUAUGUGCUCCUGCUGCAUGGUGGGGGUUGGAAAGCUCCGGCGGUUGUGGAUGGACUCGCGGCCUAUCAGCUUGUUGGUGGGGUAGUGGCCUACCAAGGCGGCGACGGGUAGCCGGCCUGAGAGGGUGACCGGCCACAUUGGGACUGAGAGACGGCCCAGACUCCUACGGGAGGCAGCAGUGCGGAAUAUUGCACAAUGGGCGCAAGCCUGAUGCAGCAACGCCGCGUGCGGGAUGACGGCCUUCGGGUUGUAAACCGCUUUCAGCAGGGACGAAGCUUUUUGUGACGGUACCUGCAGAAGAAGCACCGGCUAACUACGUG
rnacentral:rRNA from 1 species